rnacentral:miRNA from 1 species
CAGGAAGGAUUUAGGGACAGGC